CAGUAGCCGCGGGAAUACGUAGGGCGCAAGCGUUAUCCGGAAUUAUUGGGCGUAAAGAGCUCGUAGGCGGUUUGUCGCGUCUGCCGUGAAAGUCCGGGGCUCAACCCCGGAUCUGCGGUGGGUACGGGCAGACUAGAGUGAUGUAGGGGAGACUGGAAUUCCUGGUGUAGCGGUGAAAUGCGCAGAUAUCAGGAGGAACACCGAUGGCGAAGGCAGGUCUCUGGGCAUUAACUGACGCUGAGGAGCGAAAGCAUGGGGAGCAAACAGGAUUAGAUACCCCUGUAGUCCCUGUCUCUUAUAC
rnacentral:rRNA from 1 species